rnacentral:rRNA from 1 species
UACGUAGGGUGCAAGCGUUAAUCGGAAUUACUGGGCGUAAAGCGUGCGCAGGCGGCUUUGCAAGACAGAUGUGAAAUCCCCGGGCUUAACCUGGGAACUGCAUUUGUGACUGCAUGGCUGGAGUGCAGCAGAGGGGGAUGGAAUUCCGCGUGUAGCAGUGAAAUGCGUAGAUAUGCGGAGGAACACCGAUGGCGAAGGCAAUCCCCUGGGCCUGCACUGACGCUCAUGCACGAAAGCGUGGGGAGCAAACAGG